GAUGAACGCUAGCGGGAGGCCUAACACAUGCAAGCCGAGCGGUAUUUCUUCUUCGGGAGAGAGAGAGCGGCGUACGGGUGCGGAACACGUGUGCAACCUGCCUUUAUCUAGAGGAUAGCCUUUCGAAUGGUAGAUUAAUACUCUAUAAUAUAUUAAUUGGCAUCAAUUGAUAUUGAAAACUCCGGUGUAUAGAGAUGGGCACGCGCAAGAUUAUCUAGUUGGUGAGGUAACGGCUCACCAAGGCAAUGAUCUUUAGGGGGCCUGAGAGGGUGAUCCCCCACACUGGUACUGAGACACGGACCAGACUCCUACGGGAGGCAGCAGUGAGGAAUAUUGGUCAAUGGGUGCAAGCCUGAACCAGCCAUCCCGCGUGAAGGAUUAAGGUCCUAUGGAUUGUAAACUUCUUUUGUAUAGGGAUAAACCUACUCUCGUGAGGGUAGCUGAAGGUACUAUACGAAUAAGCACCGGCUAACUCCGUGCCAGCAGCCGCCGUAACAC
rnacentral:rRNA from 1 species